rnacentral:rRNA from 1 species
UACGUAGGGUGCGAGCGUUGUCCGGAAUUAUUGGGCGUAAAGGGCUCGUAGGCGGUUUGUCGCGUCGGGAGUGAAAUCUCCACGCUUAACGUGGAGCGUGCGGUCGAUACGGGCAGACUUGAGUUCGGUAGGGGAGACUGGAAUUCCUGGUGUAGCGGUGAAAUGCGCAGAUAUCAGGAGGAACACCGGUGGCGAAGGCGGGUCUCUGGGCCGAUACUGACGCUGAGGAGCGAAAGCGUGGGGAGCGAACAGG